rnacentral:misc_RNA from 1 species
UCACCGCUUGCGCGGGCAGUCUCAUUAGAGUCCCCAGCUUAACCUGUUGGCAACUAAUGAUAGGGGUUGCGCUCGUUACGGGACUUAACCCAACACCUCACGGCACGAGCUGACGACAGCCAUGCAGCACCUAGUUUCGUGCUAUUGCUAGCUGCCAUGUUUCCACAGCAUUCACUAACUUUCAAGCCCAGGUAAGGUUCCUCGCGUAUCAUCGAAUUAAACCACAUGCUCCUCCGCUUGUGCGGGCCCCCGUCAAUUCCUUUGAGUUUCAACCUUGCGGUCGUACUUCCCAGGUGGAUAACUUAAUGCUUUCGCUUAGACGCGUACAGUGUAUCGCACACAUCGAGUUAUCAUCGUUUAGGGCGUGGACUAC